rnacentral:misc_RNA from 1 species
UUUCCGUAGGUGAACCUGCGGAAGGAUCAUUAAAGUUAUAGUCCCCCGGCCCCUCCGGGCUGGGGUCUUCUAUACCACCCUUUGUUUAUUACACCUUUGUUGCUUCGGCAAGCCUGCCCUCGGGCUGCUGGCUCCGGCCGGCUCGAGCCUGCCAGAGGACCUAAACUCUGUUUGUAUAUGAAGUCUGAGUACUAUAUAGUAGUUAAAACUUUCAACAGCGGAUCUCUUGGUUCUG